rnacentral:rRNA from 1 species
AUUGAACGCUGGCGGCAGGCCUAACACAUGCAAGUCGAGCGGACGAAUGGAGCUUGUUCCUGGAUUCAGCGGCGGACGGGUGAGUAAUGCCUAGGAAUCUGCCUGGCAGUGGGGGCUAACGUCCGGACACGGGCGCUAAUACCGCAUCCGUUCUGAGGUAGAAAGUGGGGGAUCUUUGGACCUCACGCUAUCAGAUGAGACUAAGUCGGAUUAGCUAGUUGGUUGGGUAAAGGCCUACCAAGGCGACGAUCCGUAACUGACCUGAGAGGCUGAUCAGCCACACUGGAACUGAGACACGGUCCAGACUCCUACGGGAGGCAGCAGUGGGGAAUAUUGGACAAUGGGCGAAAGCCUGAUGCAGCCAUGCCGCGUGUGUGAAGAAGGUCUUCGGAUUGUAAAGCUCUGUAAGUUGGGAGGAAGGGCAGUAAGUUAAUACCUUGCUGUUUUGACGUUACCAACAGAAUAAGCACCGGCUAACUUCGUG